GGAAUCUCCAAUCGCUACAUGUAUGUAAUUUUAAAAUUAGCAGUCUGUUAAGGUAUUUGUGACAUAAUAAUGAGACUUAAUCGAAUUGACCCCCCCCCCCCCCAGGUGAACAACAUCCAUGCGCUGCUGAUCCAUGUAACGAAGGAAACCUAUGUAUUGAGGAAUGUGUACCCAAUGGAUUUACUUGUGAGUGCCCAGAAGGAUUAAUGGGCACUUAUUGUGAUGCUCUGGCUCCUGUAAAUGGCGGGUUUACACCAUGGGGUGAUUACUCCGAGUGUUCUGACACGUGUCAUCAGACUAGA